GACGAACGUCGGCGGUGUGCUUUACACAUGCAAGUCGAACGGAUAGGCCCUGCUUUUGUGGGGUGCUCACGUGGCGAACGGGUGAUUAUUACGUGAGUAACCUGCCUUUGCCUUUGGGAUAACUUCUGGCAACUGGGGAUAAUCCCGGUUAGGAGCUCCUGCUGCAUGGUGGGGGUUGGAAAGUUUCGGCGGUUGGGGAUGGACUCGCGGCUUAUCAGCUUGUUGGUGGGGUAGUGGCUUACCAAGGCUUUGACGGGUAGCCGGCCUGUGAGGGUGACCGGCCACAUUGGGACUGAGAUACGGCCCAGACUCCUACGGGAGGCAGCAGUGGGGAAUAUUGCACAAUGGGCGGAAGCCUGAUGCAGCAACGCCGCGUGCGGGAUGACUGCCUUCUGGUUGUAAUCCGCAUUCGCCUGUGACGAAGCGUUAGUGACGGUAAUGGGUAAAGAAGCACCGGCUAACUACGUG
rnacentral:rRNA from 1 species